rnacentral:rRNA from 1 species
UACGGAGGAUGCAAGCGUUAUCCGGAUUUAUUGGGUUUAAAGGGUGCGUAGGCGGAUAUGUAAGUCAGCGGUGAAACUCACAGGCUCAACCUGUGCCGUGCCGUUGAAACUGUGUAUCUGGAAUGCGGAUGCUGUGGGAGGAAUGUGUAGUGUAGCGGUGAAAUGCAUAGAUAUUACACAGAACACCGGUUGCGAAGGCAUCUCACAAAGCCGUUAUUGACGCUGAGGCACGAAAGUGUGGGGAUCAAACAGGA